GAGGCGGUAUCGGAACUUAAGCGAACUGCACUCCGAAAUAGAUCAUGUGUUUCUUGGAUUCACCUUCAUAACUGUAAUGAACGGUUACGUUGGAUUCUGCUCUGAGCCGUAAGGACCGAGACAGAAGG
rfam:Bacillus sp. FJAT-27264 scaffold1, whole genome shotgun sequence.